GAUUUCGGGUGGGUUCUAGCGGUCCGCCUAUGGUGAGUACUGCUAUGGCCUAUCUUUCUGUCGGGGACGGGCUUCUGGGCUUCACUGUCCGGGACUCGGAGUCGACGUGGUUACUUUGAGUAAAUUAGAGUGUUCAAAGCAGGCUUACGCCCUGAAUACUUUAGCAUGGAAUAACACGAUAGGACUCUGGCCUAUCUUGUUGGUCUGUAGGACUGGAGUAAUGAUUAAGAGGGACAGUCGGGGGCAUUCGUAUUUCAUUGUCAGAGGUGAAAUUCUUGGAUUUAUGAAAGACGAACUACUGCGAAAGCAUU
rnacentral:rRNA from 1 species